GUUGGCGGGGACGGCCGGAGGGGCCGGAGUGUCUGUCUGCCCGGCCCUGCCUACCAUGGCAUAGAGCGCGUCGUCAGUUCGCGUGGCGGAGGAGCUUCGGCCCACUUCAGAGGAACAACGCAACCCCAAAUUCCCUUUGGAGGCCAUCAGAAAUUCGUCACCAGAUGACCACAUGGCUCACAGGCAAGAACACUUGUACCUGCGAGAAAAAGCCCACGCAAAGCACCACGAUGAGGAUGGUGACGAUGAAGGCCGAGGCAGCGGCGAUGGCGCCCAGCAGCAGG